GACGAACGCUGGCGGCGUGCCUAAUACAUGCAAGUUGAGCGCUGAAGGCUGGUACUUGUACCAUCUGGAUGAGCAGCGCACGGGUGAGUAACGCGUGGGGAAUCUGCCUUUGAGCGGGGGACAACAUUGGGAAACGAAUGCUAAUACCGCAUAAAAACUUUAAACACAAGUUUUAAGUUUGAAAGAUGCAAUUGCAUCACUCAAAGAUGAUCCCGCGUUGUAUUAGCUAGUUGGUGAGGUACAGGCUCACCAAGGCGAGGAUACAUAGCCGACCUGAGAGGGUGGUCGGCCGCACUGGGACGGUGACACGGCCCAAACUCCUACGGGAGGCAGCAGUAGGGAAUCUUCGGCAAUGGGCGAAAGUCUGACCGAGCAACGCCGCGUGAGUGAGGAAGGUCUUCGGGUCGUAAAACUCUGUUGGUAGAGAAGAACGUUGGUGAGAGUGGAAAGCUCAGCAAGUGACGGUAACUACCCAGAAAGGGACGGCUAACUACGUG
rnacentral:rRNA from 1 species